rnacentral:tRNA from 1 species
GGCCGCGUGGCGGAGUGGUUACGCAGCGGAUUGCAAAUCCGUGCACUCCGGUUCGAUUCCGGACGCGGCCU